GACGAACGCUGGUGGCGUGCUUAACACAUGCAAGUCGAACGGGAUUUAGUAAACAGAAGCCUCGGUGGAAGAUUACUAAUGAGAGUGGCGAACGGGUGAGUAACGCGUGAGCAACCUGCCUAUGACAGUGGGAUAGCCUCGGGAAACCGGGAUUAAUACCGCAUAAAAUCGUAGAAACACAUGUUUUAACGGUCAAAGAUUUAUCGGUCAUAGAUGGGCUCGCGUCUGAUUGGCUAGUUGGUGAGAUAACAGCCCACCAAGGCGACGAUCAGUAGCCGGUCUGAGAGGAUGAACGGCCACAUUGGAACUGAGACACGGUCCAAACUCCUACGGGAGGCAGCAGUGGGGAAUAUUGCACAAUGGGGGAAACCCUGAUGCAGCGACGCCGCGUGAACGAAGAAGGUAUUCGUAUCGUAAAGUUCUGUCCUAUGGGAAGAUAAUGACAGUACCAUAGAAGAAAGCUCCGGCUAAAUACGUG
rnacentral:rRNA from 1 species